UUAUUUAUAAAAACAAAACAUUUUAAAACUUAUAUUUAAAAGUAAAAAUCUUUGAUUCAAUAAGUUUUAUUGUAAUCUAUUUAACCUGAAUAAAAACCUCUUCUCAAAUGCGGCUUUGUCAAAGCGUCGCAGUCAGUCACGUGACACGCGAAAACCUAUGGACGUCAAAUUCCAAAAGCCGCCGAUUUGAAUUGAACUCGCGCGCGAAGAUUUGAAAGCAACGGCUGCUCCGGUUUCACACAAAACUGUUAUUCGACUAAAGAAAUAUAUCACAAGGGUCAUGUGAGCUGUUUUUACGAAAAUUUUAUUGUAAUUUUCUUGUCGACGUGUCAGUACACUGUCAUUAAACGGAAACGAGCAGCUGGGACAUUUUUCCUCUCAGAAGAUCGACAUGACGGGCCAAAUUCCUUCCAAAUCCCCUCUAAUGGAGAUGAAAGCAACAGCAUUCUCGGACCCUUAAAUUGUGCUCCAUUACACACAGGCGGAUGUGUUUGGGUCCGUAUGGAUUCAUCUCCAGGGAAAAUGAGCCCAGAGAUCCAGAUUCCCUCAGUCCGGCCCGGGCGACGCAUGAAUCAGUCCUGCUAUCAUUGGCAGUGUAAUCUGUGCAGACUCGCGGCUGGAUUUGCCCAGACUGAAGCGCAGACGGAGAGAUUUCCUCACUGGCUCUUUCUUGGCGACUCUGGGAGAGAAACAGCCUGCCUUCCCCGAUUCGACUCUGAAAGCAACAAGAGAAGCCAAUCGUGAUGAGAAAUGGUCGUUUUGAAUGUCUGCAGAUACCAUCAGCAUGUCUGAGUGAGUGUUGUUCUCCUCUAGAGACACAGAAGAUGGAGAAAACACGGAAACAUCACAUCCCAACAUGGCCGGAACCUUCUCCAUCAGGAACUGAGGAACCACACCUGUGAA